rnacentral:rRNA from 1 species
CUACGGGCGGCUGCAGUGGGGAAUAUUGCACAAUGGAGGAAACUCUGAUGCAGCAACGCCGCGUGGAGGAUGACACUUUUCGGAGCGUAAACUCCUUUUAUAUAGGAAGAAGAUGACGGUACUAUAUGAAUAAGCGCCGGCUAACUCCGUGCCAGCAGCCGCGGUAAUACGGAGGGCGCAAGCGUUACUCGGAAUCACUGGGCGUAAAGAGCGUGUAGGCGGAUUAAAAAGUCAGAAGUGAAAUCCUAUAGCUUAACUAUAGAACUGCUUCUGAAACUCUUAAUCUAGAAUAUGGGAGAGGUAGAUGGAGUUUCUGGUGUAGGGGUAAAAUCCGUAGAGAUCAGAAGGAAUACCGAUUGCGAAGGCGAUCUACUAGAACAUUAUUGACGCUGAGACGCGAAAGCGUGGGGAGCAACCAGGAUUAGAUACCCCUGUAGUC